GGUGGUGCAUGGUUGUCGUCAGCUCGUGUCGUGAGAUGUUGGGUUAAGUCCCGCAACGAGCGCAACCCUUAUCCUCAGUAGCCAGCAGUAAGAUGGGCACUCUGUGGAGACUGCCAGGGAUAACCUGGAGGAAGGUGGGGAUGACGUCAAAUCAUCAUGCCCCUUAUGAUUUGGGCUACACACGUGCUACAAUGGCGUAAACAAAGGGAAGCGAAAGGGUGACCUGGAGCAAAUCUCAGAAAUAACGUCUCAGUUCGGAUUGUAGUCUGCAACUCGACUACAUGAAGCUGGAAUCGCUAGUAAUCGCGAAUCAGCAUGUCGCGGUGAAUACGUUCCCGGUCGACGCGGCCG
rnacentral:rRNA from 1 species